GGCAGGUGGAGGUCGUUAGCCGUGAUAGGCAGUUCACCUAGGAGAGCAAACUCUAAACAAACCUGGGGAGGUGGAGUUCGAUAGCCGUGGUAGGUAAUCUGCCUAGGAGAGCAAACUCCGAACAAUAAACCCGGCCAGGUGGAGGUCGUCAGCCGUGGUAGGCAAUCUGCCUAGGAGAGCAAACUCUAAACAAACCCGGGCUUGUGGUGCUCGUUAUACUGUCGUAGACAAUCCACGCGAUGGGAACACCAAAGAAAAGGAAAAUAAAAAGGAACACCAGAAAAAUGGAAAAUACAGAAACGAAACGUCAAGAAAAGAAACAAAAAGAUCAUUCACUUUUAGGCCCUAACAUCACCAAAAUUAUGGAUGGGUCUCUUCUGGGGAGAAAGCGGCUCAUCCAGACCAAUGAACAUCAACAAAAGGAUGAUAUGAAUAAAUGAAAUAAAAAAACAAAGAAAAACACGUCAAGGAAAGAAAAAUAUAACAAACAUCAUCCACCUUCCGGCCCUGACUAACAUCACCAAAAUUAUGGGUGGGUCUCUUCUGGGGAGAAAGCGGCUCACCCAGACCAAAGAACAUCAACAAGGGAUGAUAUAGAAAAGAACACCCCAAAAAAUUGAAAAAGAACAGAAAAAAACAUCGAAAAAGAAAAGCAACAGAAAUAAAUGAACAACAUCAAGGAAAGAGAAAUACAAAGAAACAUCAUCCACCUUUCAGUCCCAAGCAACAUCACCAAAAUUAUGGAUGGGUCUCUUCUGGGAGGAAAGCGGCUCAUCCAGACCAAGGAACAUCAACAAAAGGAUGAUAGGAAAAAAAUAACAACAAAAAG